GUCCCCAUAGCUCAACAGGAUAGAGCACUUGCCUCCUAAGCGAAAGAUCCCCGUUCGAGUCGGGGUGGGGAUACCA
rnacentral:tRNA from 1 species